rnacentral:rRNA from 1 species
UACCAGCACCCCGAGUGGUCGGGACGUUUAUUGGGCCUAAAGCAUCCGUAGCCGGUUCUACAAGUCUUCCGUUAAAUCCACCUGCUUAACAGAUGGGCUGCGGAAGAUACUACAGAGCUAGGAGGCAGGAGAGGCAAGCGGUACUCAGUGGGUAGGGGUAAAAUCCGUUGAUCCAUUGAAGACCACCAGUGGCGAAGGCGGCUUGCCAGAAUGCGCUCGACGGUGAGGGAUGAAAGCUGGGGGAGCAAACCGG